AGCGAACGCUGGCGGCAGGCCUAACACAUGCAAGUCGAACGGACCCUUCGGGGUUAGUGGCGGACGGGUGAGUAACACGUGGGAACGUGCCUUUAGGUUCGGAAUAGCUCCUGGAAACGGGUGGUAAUGCCGAAUGUGCCCUUCGGGGGAAAGAUUUAUCGCCUUUAGAGCGGCCCGCGUCUGAUUAGCUAGUUGGUGAGGUAAUGGCUCACCAAGGCGACGAUCAGUAGCUGGUCUGAGAGGAUGACCAGCCACAUUGGGACUGAGGCACGGCCCAAACUCCUACGGGAGGCAGCAGUGGGGAAUCUUGCGCAAUGGGCGAAAGCCUGACGCAGCCAUGCCGCGUGAAUGAUGAAGGUCUUAGGAUUGUAAAAUUCUUUCACCGGGGACGAUAAUGACGGUACCCGGAGAAGAAGCCCCGGCUAACUUCGUGCCAGCCGCCGCCGUAAAAC
rnacentral:rRNA from 1 species